CUCUCUCAGGCACUGUGUGCCUCACAUUUCCUCAUUCAUGUCUGUUUAAGCUCUAAUUCACACGCACUGAGGUCACACUCUCGGUUUGGAGCAUAAAAGAGCAGCGGGACGACGGACAUGAGCCACACACUCCUGAAGGCUGCUGGGAGAGGCACGGGAGGGCGUCUCUGUCUGGACCUGCGUCGCUAUGGGUCUUCAGUCCAGCACUGCACAACAGCAGCAGCAGAUUUGGAGGGCGUUUGGCUCGGUUCAUCGGCUCUGAACGAGCGGCACCGCGGUGGCUCUGAUUGGCUGGCUGGACAUCCACUGAGCGCGACUUCAGGUGACGGAGAGGUUUAAGCUCGUGUUGGUGAGACGGCUCAGUGAGCCCGGUGACAGAGGAAGGAGAAAGACCAGCAAAGAGGUUUGACCAGGCGUGACCGCCGCCCCGCCCGGGACAAAUUCCUGACAGUUAUCAUGACCGCUGGACGAGGACAGCGAGGCUUUCAUCUCAGAGGUCAGAUUUACUACUGAAACCACUGAGGAGAGCUGAACCCUCAGCACUAAGUGGAAAACACUGAACGCUGUGAUCCAACUCAGAACAUUCCCGCUCCCACGUCUUACUCCAUCUUUCAAGUUGAAGUCUGAAUCCGGGCUUUGGGUUGUUCCCAUCUCUCCGGACUGGUUCUUGACAUGUUAAAAAAUGAUUUUGUGACUUUUAGUAAAUCUUCCGAGGCUUCAGAUUAGCCAAAGGACAAACCCAUGAAUGUCAGCAUCAGCGUGUCCUCUCCUCUGUCUUUCAUGCCUUCACUUCACCACAGGGGUCCCUAAUCCAGGAGGAGUUAAACCUCUCCUCCAUUCAGGCAGCAUAGAGACGAACAGACCCAAUUACACAAAGGAAGACAUGGACAGAGAAAGAACACAGAGAGGAACCUGAUGGACAUGAGAAAAGAGACAAAAGGUCAAACUUAAUGCAGUGCAGUGCUCAGAAAACGACCAAAAAAAGGCGGGUAGAUGAAGUUAAACUGACAGAAAGACGGGAAAAGGAGGAAUGAAAGGACAGGUGGCAGAGGUCAGGCUGAACGCCUUGCACUGGAGAGUAACGAAACUAAAGAGCAAAGUGGGAAAAGUAGGAGAUUACUGGGGGGAACAGCAUUGGCCAGAAGCCAGAGAGACCAUUAGCAAAGUUGGUCCGGUCAGUGUAGCGUAGCACCGACGUGCAUUUAAAAACUCUGCUUCCAUCUCACAUUUCACACGCUCUGCAAUCCUGCUUUCAACCUCUGCUGCGGCGAUGUUGGCGCACCUCGUUCUCAGGUCACAGAAGAAGAAAAACCUGAACUGGGAGGUGAAAUAAUCCAUGUGGGUAGCACCGGAAAAGUCAGACCUGCAAUGCUUCAGUUCACUUACACAAUCUUAUAUUAUUAAAGAGCCGAUGUGUUGAUUAACUGGCUGUCACACAACCAUGUAUCACCGUCUUUCCACAUGAGGCUUUGCCUGAGUCACAAGCAUAGAAAGUCUCUUUUUAUGGUGGUGCACUGACUUCAGAGGGGACACGAGUGUUUGUGAUCUGUGGGCUUUAUCACAAAAACCACAAAAUCAAAAAACAGAAUCAAUCAUGCUGCCAGGAGUACAGACCCUGAAUAUGUCUUUACACUUACAGGACAACAGAGCUUUUACCAGGUCUCUGUCUGAUAGUAUCAAAACAACUCUUUGAUUGGUCAAAUCACAGGACAGUUUUCUGCUCAGGCCCAGAGAAGCAGCAGCAUUUCGCUGUCAUAUUGAGAUGUGUGGGAGCACCUUAGAGACCCAACCGCGCGACCCACGUGUCAAACUCAAACGAUCGUUAACGCUGAUCGGGAGAAAAAAGUCCAAGGAGCGAGACAUGGAGUUAAAUCUGAGAACUCUAGGAAUACUAGGAAACUGGGAAAUCAGAGUGAGGGAACACAGCUUAGAGAGACAACACGGCAAAGGACAAAGGAGGACUGAGACAAUAUAUACAAAAGCAAUAUGGAGACAACUUUACCAAACAGUGGGAAGUUAAACAAGAUCAAAAUAAAACAGGAAGUAAAACAGGAGAAACGUGACACAGGAGACACCGAAGGACACAAAACACAACAGGAAACUAACAGAAAGUAACUGUAACUAACACGAAGUAAUACAAAGUGUCAGAAGAUAAAUGAGGCUUGCAAACACAAAAGGAAAACUAAAGACUGAACAACCCAGACACGCUGAACCCAAAGUGGGAUACAAACGUAAAUUAUCCUCAAAACAGAAUCACAAACCCACCCAGGGACUGUGACACUGUGUGUGGAGCUCGAUGUGUGGAACGGUCCAGCUGAUUAUCGAUAAAGUUAUUGAAAUAAGCCGCCAUAAAAAUAGCACAUCGGCGCAGACGCCGACACUGUAGGGAUAACAGGAUGAAGUUUGGGUGACAUCAUCAUGUCAUGAGAGAAUGUCAUGUGAAAUCUUCAAUAUGUAAA